rnacentral:rRNA from 1 species
GGUGAGUAACACGUGGAUAACCUACCUAUAAGACUGGGAUAACUUCGGGAAACCGGAGCUAAUACCGGAUAAUAUUUUGAACCGCAUGGUUCAAAAGUGAAAGACGGUCUUGCUGUCACUUAUAGAUGGAUCCGCGCUGCAUUAGCUAGUUGGUAAGGUAACGGCUUACCAAGGCAACGAUGCAUAGCCGACCUGAGAGGGUGAUCGGCCACACUGGAACUGAGACACGGUCCAGACUCCUACGGGAGGCAGCAGUAGGGAAUCUUCCGCAAUGGGCGAAAGCCUGACGGAGCAACGCCGCGUGAGUGAUGAAGGUCUUCGGAUCGUAAAACUCUGUUAUUAGGGAAGAACAUAUGUGUAAGUAACUGUGCACAUCUUGACGGUACCUAAUCAGAAAGCCACGGCUAACUACGUGCCAGCAGCCGCGGUAAUACGUAGGUGGCAAGCGUUAUCCGGAAUUAUUGGGCGUAAAGCGCGCGU